AGAUUGAACGCUGGCGGCAGGCCUAACACAUGCAAGUCGAGCGGUAGAGAGGUGCUUGCAUCUCUUGAGAGCGGCGGACGGGUGAGUAAUGCCUAGGAAUCUGCCUAGUGGUGGGGGAUAACGUUCGGAAACGGACGCUAAUACCGCAUACGUCCUACGGGAGAAAGCGGGGGACCUUCGGGCCUCGGCGCCAUUAGAUGAGCCUAGGUCGGAUUAGCUAGUUGGUGAGGUAAUGCUCACCAAGGCGACGAUCCGUAACUGGUCUGAGAGGAUGAUCAGUCACACUGGAACUGAGACACGGUCCAGACUCCGUACGGGAGCAGCAGGUGGGAAUAGUUGGAACAAGUGGGACGAAAGCCUAGACCCAGCCAUCGCCGCGUGUGUGAAGAAGGUCUUCGGAUUAGUAAAGCUACGUUUAAGGUAGGGAAGGUAAGGUUUGUAAACCUAAGUACGUUAG
rnacentral:rRNA from 1 species